rnacentral:SRP_RNA from 1 species
GAAUAUUGUGGUGCAUGCCUAUAGUCCCAGCUACUUAGGACUCUGAAGUGGGAAGUUUGCUUAAGCCUGGAAGUUCUGGGCUAUAGUGCACUAUACUGAUUGGGUGUCCACACUAAGUUUGGCAUCAAUAUGGUGAACUCCUGGGAAUCCACUAUGUUGCCUAAGGAGGAGGGGUCAACUGACCCAGGUUGAAAAUGGAACAGGUCAAAAUUCCCAUGCUGAUUAGUAGUGGGAUUGUGCCUGUGAAUAGCCACUGCAUUCCAACCUUGGCAACAUAGAGAAACCCUUUCUCU